rnacentral:rRNA from 1 species
AAUGAACGCUGGCGGCAGGCCUAACACAUGCAAGUCGAACGAGCGGCGGACGGGUGAGUAAUGCCUAGGAAUCUACCUGGUAGUGGGGGAUAACGUAGAGAAACGGGCGCUAAUACCGAAUACUAGAAGCUGCGACUAGGUCGAAUUAGCUAGUAGGUGGGGUAACGGCUCACAUAGGCGACGAUCCAAAGCUGGUCUGAGAGGAUGACCAGCCACACUGGAACUGAGACACGGUCCAGACUCCUACGGUAGGCAGCAGUGGGGAAUAUUGCGCAAUGGGCGCAAGCCUGAUGCAGCCAUGCCGCGUGAGUUAAGAAGGCCUUCGGUUUGUAAAGCACUUUCAGCGGGGAGGCGUUACCCGCAGAAGAAGCACCGGCUAACUCCGUGCCAGCCGCCGCGGUAAUUC